UAAUGGAGAGUUUGAUCCUGGCUCAGGACGAACGCUGGCGGCAUGCCUAAUACAUGCAAGUCGAGCGGACUGGAUGAAGAAGCUUGCUUCUUCUGAUGGUUAGCGGCGGACGGGUGAGUAACACGUAGGCAACCUGCCUUUCAGUUUGGGAUAACUUCCGGAAACGGAUGCUAAUACCGAAUACAUCAUCUUCUGGCAUCAGAGGAUGAGGAAAGACGGCGCAAGCUGUCACUGAGAGAUGGGCCUGCGGCGCAUUAGCUAGUUGGUGGGGUAAUGGCUCACCAAGGCGACGAUGCGUAGCCGACCUGAGAGGGUGAACGGCCACACUGGGACUGAGACACGG
rnacentral:rRNA from 1 species